rnacentral:rRNA from 1 species
UAGUAACGGCGAGUGAAGCGGCAACAGCUCAAAUUUGAAAUCUGGCUCUUUUAGAGUCCGAGUUGUAAUUUGCAGAGGGCGCUUUGGCUUUGGCAGCGGUCCAAGUUCCUUGGAACAGGACGUCACAGAGGGUGAGAAUCCCGUACGUGGUCGCUGGCUAUUGCCGUGUAAAGCCCCUUCGACGAGUCGAGUUGUUUGGGAAUGCAGCUCUAAAUGGGAGGUACAUUUCUUCUAAAGCUAAAUAUUGGCCAGAGACCGAUAGCGCACAAGUAGAGUGAUCGAAAGAUGAAAAGCACUUUGGAAAGAGAGUCAAACAGCACGUGAAAUUGUUGAAAGGGAAGCGCUUGCAGCCAGACUUGCUUACAGUUGCUCAUCCGGGUUUCUACCCGGUGCACUCUUCUGUAGGCAGGCCAGCAUCAGUUUGGGCGGUAGGAUAAAGGUCUCUGUCACGUACCUCCUUUCGGGGAGGCCUUAUAGGGGAGACGACAUACUACCAGCCUGGACUGAGGUCCGCGCAUCUGCUAGGAUGCUGGCGUAAUGGCUGUAAGCGGCCCGUCUUGAAACACGGACCAAGGAGUCUAACAUCUAUGCGAGUGUUUGGGUGUCAAGCCCGAGCGCGUAAUGAAAGUGAACGGAGGUGGGAACCCGCAAGGGUGCACCAUCGACCGAUCCUGAUGUCUUCGGAAGGAUUUGAGUAAGAGCAUGGCUGUUGGGACCCGAAAGAUGGUGAACUAUGCUUGAAUAGGGUGAAGCCAGAGGAAACUCUGGUGGAGGCUCGCAGCGGUUCUGACGUGCAAAUCGAUCGUCAAAUUUGGGCAUAGGGGCGAAAGACUAAUCGAACUAUCUAGUAGCU